rnacentral:rRNA from 1 species
AGGACGAACGCUGGCGGCGUGCUUAACACAUGCAAGUCGAGCGGAAAGGCCUUUCGGGGUACUCGAGCGGCGAACGGGUGAGUAACACGUGAGUAAUCUGCCCAUCGCUUCAGGAUAGCCAGUCGGAAACGGUGAUUAAUACUGGAUAUGACAUUCCUUCGCAGUGUUGGGGUAGUGGAAAGUUUUUUCGGCGGUGGAUGUGGCUCGCGGCUUAUCAGCUUGUUGGUGGGUAAUGGCCUACCAAGGCUUUGAC